CUUUACUAUAGCCUGGAAUUGUGUUCGGGCUUCGCUUACGCAGGAUAGGUGGGAGGCUAUGAAGUUCUGCUUGUGGGCAGAAUCGAGCCAACGGUGAGAUACCACUUUAGCGAGGCUAGAAUUCUAACCCUUGCCCAUGAUCUGGGAAGGAGACAGUUUCAGGGGGGUAGUUUGACUGGGGCGGUCGCCUCCUAAAAGGUAACGGAGGCGCGCAAAGGUUCCCUCGGGCUGGUUGGAAACCAGCCGUAAGAGUGUAAAGGCAGAAGGGAGCUUGACUGCAAGACCUACAAGUCGAGCAGGGUGGAAACACGGUCUUAGUGAUCCGACGGUGCCGCAUGGAAGGGCCGUCGCUCAACGGAUAAAAGUUA
rnacentral:rRNA from 1 species